rnacentral:rRNA from 1 species
GCCUUAGUAGCGGCGAGUGAAGCGGCAAAAGCUCAAAUUUGAAAUCUGGCUCUUUCAGAGUCCGAGUUGUAAUUUGAAGAAGGUAUCUUUGGGUCUGGCUCUUGUCUAUGUUUCUUGGAACAGAACGUCACAGAGGGUGAGAAUCCCGUGCGAUGAGAUGAUCCAGGCCUAUGUAAAGUUCCUUCGAAGAGUCGAGUUGUUUGGGAAUGCAGCUCUAAGUGGGUGGUAAAUUCCAUCUAAAGCUAAAUAUUGGCGAGAGACCGAUAGCGAACAAGUACAGUGAUGGAAAGAUGAAAAGAACUUUGAAAAGAGAGUGAAAAAGUACGUGAAAUUGUUGAAAGGGAAGGGCUUGAGAUCAGACUUGGUAUUUUGUAUGUUACUUCUUCGGGGGUGGCCUCUACAGUUUAUCGGGCCAGCAUCAGUUUGGGCGGUAGGAGAAUUGCGUUGGAAUGUGGCACGGCUUCGGUUGUGUGUUAUAGCCUUCGUCGAUACUGCCAGCCUAGACUGAGGACUGCGGUUUAUACCUAGGAUGUUGGCAUAAUGAUCUUAAGUCGCCCGUCUUGAAA